CUGGUUUUGGGCGUCGUGAGGGAGGAAGCGGGCAGUGCGUUGCUUCGUGCGUGGCUCAGUGCCUUUCUUUCUUCUGGUGUGCCUCCCGCCCGAGCUUUAGCCAGUGGAGAUGGCAGGGACCUCGGACCAAGUUGGAUGUGGCAGCCAAGCUGUGAGGACACAGGCAGAUUUGCAGGUAGAAGGCAAGGGCACUGAGGCCACAAGACAAUGUACUGUGAACUAGGAACUGUGGGAAGGAGGAAGGAUGCAGUGGGCCCUUCCCUGCCCCCCAGCAGACGUAAGGCUCACGCAACUGUCCUGCACCCCUUGCAGGUACUGGACAGGGAGCAAGGAUGUCACCAAGGUUUCUCUUCUGCUUUGGGACCCCACCAUGUAGGUGUGAGGUCCUGUCACAGGGGAACGCCAGCAGGGAGCUGGGUCCAGCCUUAGGGCUGCCAGAUUCCUCCAGCAGGCAUGGUUAUCCCCGCUGCCAUUUCCUCCUCCCAUUGCAGAAAAACAUGGGAAAUCUUCUCAGGAAUUUUGCUAUUUUAAGCAAGCUUCUCUGUCCCUCCUGAUAUCACAGCUUCCUUAUCCUCACCAGAAUAAUACAAGGACAAUAAUUUUAAUCCUUCACGAAAUGUUGGUAUUAAAGGCUUUGAGCUGCUGGAAAAGUGCCUGUCCGUAACAAUGGGGUUAAUGCGACUGUGGGACUCAUCCAGCCUCCACAUAAACCUGCACAGAUUUGUGCCACGUAUAGCUGGGACUGUCCCGAGCCAUAGAGCACAGCCCCUGCCCUCACCAGGACUAGGCAGGCUGUUAUUCUGUGCGUUUGAUAGAAGCAGGUGCCCUCUUGCAGGGUUUAAUACAAGGAAAAUAUAAUAAUAGUUAUACCUGCAGGAGGUUAUAUAUCAUAACACAUCCAGUGUCUUUACAGGUCAGUUUUACAACAGUUGCAUUUCUCAAUCCCUGUAAUUUAAUCUGAUGGUUAACUUCAUGACUUAGUUCUUUACUACGCCUCUGAGCUUCUUCCUCAGUACGCUGAUGUGUAGUGACUCAAAAUUAUGGCAUUCAGUGCACGUACAUCCAGAAUCCUGUUACUGGGCAUUUAAAUACAUGGGGGUUACUUGUGUUCCAUCUCUGAUCCUGGUAGUGACUGCAUUGAUUCCAGAGUCUGGGGUCGCUGAUAAUGUGUUACCCAAAGUCCCUGCCUUUAUAGUAGUGUCAGUGUGGAAACAAUGUAAUUCACUGAUCUGGAUGCUAAAGAAUGGUGAGUAAUUUUAGGCAUAUAAAGAAUAACACAUGUAAUCUGUCAUUAAAAUCCUUUUAUUUCAUGUGUGUUGGGGAUGUCCAGGUGGCAUGGGGCUGUUCCAAAAAGCUCAUUGCCAAAAAGAUGCUUCCUCAUACCCCCUACCACACCCCUGGUCUAAAGCCGACAGGGUUCCACUGAGCUCAACAGCCACGAUCUACGUCGUCGCUGUCCUUUGGCUCUGGACCUUGUGCCCUACAAAAACAACCCCGAUAAAACCCCAGUGUGCAGUCUAUCUAGCUGUCAGUGCCCGUGCUUUCACUUCACUUUGUGCAAAUAUUGGUUCCAAAUCGCAAAGAGGAGGGGUUUGGCACGUGGGCUUGCAGCGCAGCGCUCCCAAACCAGCAGUACGAGUCUCAGCAACAUGAGCUUGGCAGUGCUUUCACAUUGCUCAGUUGCUAAUCUUCCAAAUUCUUUGCCUUGGGUCUAAUCCCACAAAAUAUGAUUCAAUUUGUCAACAUAGCUACCUUAUGACUAGUGUGUGUUUAGCUGGUCAGCCCAUUUCUUACAGUUGCUAUCAAGUGGAAUAGUGUGCGACAGCAGAAGCGGUUGGAAAAAUAUUUUUCACCCCAGAUAGCUCAGAGGCUGAAACUUACUUGCUGUUUUCCACUGCCCCAGCUUGCAAGAUUACACUGUACAAUACAGUGCCUGUAGUUAAGGUGCAUUUAUAAUACUGUUUCACAUUGACUGCAUUUUUCGUUCCCUAUAAUUUACAUAGCUGAAGGUUAACUUCACAGCUUAAUUCUGUAUUAUCCCUUCUAGUUUCCUGCUUGAGACAGGAAUAAAUCUAAGCCCAUUUCUGUUUAGCAGAGUGUGUUUAUUGUUCAUCAUAGCAAGCUGAACAUAUUUCACCUAGCGUCCCCAUCUCCAGCAUGUCUGGCUGGGUAAUCAGUCUCAUGUGUGUGUGGACACCAUGUGUGGCAGCAUGCUGUUGGGACAGAGGUGACUUUCCCUUGAGAACCUCAUAGUUUGGCCCUGUGUUCCCCCCAAAAAGAGAUGAUUUGGCAGGCAGGGACAGUCUUGUACCCAAGUGUCAAUCUGGGCAGAGUACAGAGAAGCCAUUCCUGAAUAAUAAAUGUUUUUAAAGCACCAAUUUCUGUUCCUCGGGAUAUGGAGUUGUGGGACAUUGACUCAACUCCUAGCUCAGCUAAGCAGGGCAAGUCUGAAUUCAUGCCUGUCUUUUAGGCUGCCCACUGACGCCACCCAGACAUUUCUCCUUUCCUGUGGGCUCCGUGUCCUUUAUCACUCAGCUCAGAAGGGACAGCACUGUCUCCACAGCCUCGUGGACCGAGAAAGACUGGGCACAAGAGCUUGUGUGGAGGUGGUAUGUUGUCUUGCCAGACCCCAGCUGUGUGCCAGUGAGGUGUCUGUUCCAAAUCCAAUCUUUGCAAAGCAGCUCCUCUGAAGGGCAAGGCUCGUGCUGCAAAGUGCCAUGCUCCUGGCUAAGGCCAGAGGGCCAGACCCCAGGCAGCAGCCCCUGGGCCAUGGAUUGGAAGGUUAUCGAUGUGCCAUCCUCUGUGCCUGCUCUGAAUGCAGCCAGCGGUGGAGUGGCCUUAGGACCUUCUCUGCCCAUCCAUCCCAAUUUGCUUUCAGGGAAGGGUGCCUAAAGGUAGGGCAAGGCAAGGCAAGGCAAAAAGUGCCCCAAGCAUCUCAGUCAGCUCUCUCUUUAGGAAGUCUCAUCAUCCUUAGUAUUCCCCCACCACAACCUGCACUCCCCACAUCCCCAGCAAGGAUGCAGGCCUGUGGGAGCAGCAGCACCAAGAUGGCCAGGCAGUGUGAUGAUCCUGAGGAAGAGGCCCUGUGGGGCUUCUGUCAACCCAACACCACCUUCUGAGCAGUGUGAGUAGUGGCUGUCAGGCUGCAAGGAGUGAUUUUGUUUACCGAUCCUAAUAAGCAAGGUCUUGUUAUCAUGGGGUGAGCUGGAUGUGUCAUAUUUUUACGGUCAGGGGCAAACAAAAAUACUGCGGCGCGGAUCUGCGCUGAGAAUAUCUGUGAAAACAAGGCUGGUGAUGAUGACUCACGUCUCUGCAAUGCCACGUUAGAUUUGCUAAAUGCAGCUGGCUCGUGGUGUAGCACGGGAAAGGCUCCGCCCCAGCCAUGCUGUGGUGGCCUGGCCUCAGCUGGCAGCAAGAAUUUACAGAACCAAAAAUCACCGUUGAUCUCAGUAAGAUCUGCAGGGGUGAUCAAAUCUACACCAGGAGCCAUUUAUGGAAAGUGCAGAUUUUAUGGUAAUUUUUUAUGCCUGUAGUCACAGAACUCAGUCCUGCACUGCGCAGAGCCUGCAGUGAAUUGAAGCAUGUGCUGCACUGUGUGGAUGCAAAUUACCAAGCUUACACUCACUGUUAGGAGAAUCCUGCUGGGGAAACCAUCAAGAAGCACAGUUAAAACCACAAGCAAGGAAAGGGGUGCAGACGCAUUAAAGCCAAUCCCAGUUACUGGGACAAAGCCCAUUCUAUAAGGAUGGCUUUGUAUCCAAACAGUGCAUCAGCACCAAAAGGUCUCCUGAACUCCUUGGCUGGUGAUGAACAGAAGCAGGAAAGACAGGAGACGAAGAACGUAAGUGUUCAGACAGUGCACUGAGGUGCAAGCUCUUGAUAGUUCACCCAGAUCUUGCGGAGCAUCCUUGCUGUGGCUGCAGGAGGGGAACUGUGGCAAGCUGUUGGGACAGGUGGCUAUGCUUGUGCCAAUGGAUGGAUUGCAGUUUGGGAUAGGCACAGAGGGCAAUUCAUAUCUGCUUUGUGUGUGGAGGGUGCCUUGUUGGCACUUUUCACUGGCAUUUUUCUCUAGGAUGUUCUUAAGCACAUGCUUGUCUUUAACGCUCCCUUUCAGCAGAUGACUUAUUUCCUUAUCAGUCCCCUCCACAGCUCUUCCAGAAGCUUCCAGGACAUUUCCAGCCCACAAAGAUUUCUGACCUUUUUCACUUAACUGUUCUUUAGUGCUUCUUCCUCUUCUUCACUCAGACAGAUGCAAAGCCCAGCAAGAAGUCCAGGUUAUUGCCCAAUGUGUCAUCAGGACUAAGGGCAUCAUUGUGAAUAUGCUGCACAGAUCCUUUGACAGGGAAGUACAAAAGAGAAAGGGGAAGCACAGAAUUCAGGCUGAUUUGUUCUUCUGUAAGCAAACGUAGCAACUUCAAGAGCUCUUUACCUUCUGCUUUUCUUAUGUUUCUUUGCAAACCCAAACCCAUGCAUGCAAAAAUAUUGCUGUUCACUUCAUCAGGUGACAGCACUUGGGAACCAGUUGGCAGUGAGGCUGGGCAAGCAGCCCAGGAGACAUGUUGUCCUGUGGAAGCCACUGGUGAGACCAAAUUCUGCUGUCAUCCAACCCAGACAGUGUUUGAGGAAUGUGUCCUUAAGCUGAGAUCACCUCCCCAGGACUUUGGAGGAGGUAAUAUGUGUUGAGCUGGAGCACCAACCGCUGCUCUCCAGCUUGUGGUCUGGGCAAGCAGAGCCACAGCAGCAUCCAUCUCUGUUCCACUGGGCUGGUACCAGGUGCUGCACUGGUUCAGUAUCCCUUGCCUGGAUUGUGAAGGAGAGAAGCUGAAAGUUUCCAAAGGCAAACUCAUGUAAACUCCUGCUGCAAGGCUCUGGUGUCCACAUGGAGCUGGGCAUGGGGAGGGGUCAGCCCUGACCUUUAUUGUAGCAAGGGCUCCCCCCCCCCUGCCCAUCUACAGGGGCUUCUCCCAUACAAUUCAGGUUGUUCCACGCAGAGCUUACGGGCUGCCUGCUAAAUCACACCAUUAAAUCCUUGAGUCCGGGUUUUAGUGUUUCCAUGUGCCGAGAGUGUCUUAAUCUGGGCAGCUUGGGGAAUUUUUAUCCCGCGGAUCCUUCGGUAUGCCUGGAAUGUUUGCUUUUCCUACUGCGUGCGUGUGUUUGAGGCACUCCUGUAAAAAUAAGAACUUCCUGGCCGCCUUGUAAAUCUUCCCUUGACCAGCACAGUUGCCUUGAGUGAUUAAUAAAUGGGUGAGCUGAACCCAGCACCCGUGGGGAGCACGACAAAGGGACCUCGAGGCUGGCCUCCCUCCAGAGCCCGCCCGAGGGACGCGCAUGGUGACACCAUUUUUCGGUAAGAGCCUGGGAGAGGAAGAACGAAACGGAAAUUCCAGCGAGCUAAGGAAAUGCACCAGUGGGCCAGGGCUUUGGAGGAGUUUUCUAUUGUAUCAUCGAGCAGCUAAAACACACAGCUCUGCUGGAAGGUCGCUCUGCCAGCAUUGGAACUCGGUGUUGGCACCGCUCUUGCCUGGAGCUGGUUAUAGGACUGCUCAAACUCAAGGUGCUGAGUUUCUUUUGGGGCCUGGUCUGCUUGAGGUCAACUGUAGUUGAGUUCAGUACUGCUCUCACUAUUUUCCUUCUUAUUUCUUCGCUUCUCCUCUUGGAUCCUCUUCUGCCCACCCUUCUCCCAGCGGUCAGUCACAGGGCUUCUGUUUUGGUGCCAUUAUGGAGUGUAUGGAAAGAAAAAGAGUUUUUAGAGCCUACUUCCAACACCUACUCGUAUCCCAGUGAUACUUGAGUCCAGAGGCAGUGCACUGUUUCUCCUGUGGGUUUCUCACUGUUGCAUCUCUCCCUGUUAGUCCUGGGCUUGUAGUAGCUCCUGUUCCCCUCCCUUCUUUGCCUUAGGUGUUUCCUCCAGACAUUUGCUGGAGCAGAGUGAACUGUAUGGAGGCAGAUGCUCUUCACCUUCCCCUCUCCACACCUGCCCAGAUGUUGCUCUUUCAACCAUCAGCACACACCGCAGGAGGUCAAAAAUGUGUGACGAGGACAUCAAGGGACAUUUCACGCUCUUUGUGCCCAUGCAGGGUUUGUCUGGAGCUGCAUCUCAGUAAUGAGCCUGCUGGCAAUCCACUGCUUUUGAGCAGUGACAGCCUGGUGUCACCCUCCCUGUCAAGGUGAAGAGUUCCUGCUGUAUUUGGGAUCCUGCAGUGAAGAAAAACCCCUGCUCAACGCUCUCCUCCACGUUUCUUAGUUCACCAAGCCAGUGCACGUGUUGGAGAUGGCUGUUUGAGUCUGCUUCAAGUGUUGCCAUUAGGUACAAGAGUCAACAUCCCUUUUCUUUCCCUGCUAACUGUCCCUUGGCCGGCCCUGAUCUUCCACACUGAUUAGUUCUCACUUAAACAUCCAGGAGCACAACACUAAGAGGAUUUUGCCAUGGCAGGUUAUCCCCGUGGCAGGGAAGAUGCAAAGCUUCCUUAGCAGUCCUGAUGCGUGCAGUGAUUUCCAUCACAGAAGAGCAAUAAGGAGCAGGGUGACCAGCAUCCUGCUGCCCCUCCCUGUGCAACCCCCACUCCUUUUGCAGGUGAUGGCUGCAGAUUGGGGUUCUUGCACAGAAUUGCCUGUGAGGAGGUGUUCUCCUGCCCCAUGACCACCCUGUGGUUGAGAGGUGACGGAAGGACCACACCAUCCCAGGGAUGCUCUGGUACUGGAAGUGGCUUUUAUUUAGGAGUUGUGUUGGCUUCUCACAAUUUUCUCCUAGGCAAAAGGAUCGUUUUCAGCUUUCAGAGAACUGUAACCAAAGAACAUUUGGGGUUUUCUGGUUCCCCAGAAUAAAACAAUUCCAACCCCUGUAAAAGGCUCAGCCUUUUCAGUCCUCUCCCACCUCUAGCCCUCCAUGGAAAGGCUGUGAAGCCAGCCUUCCCACAGGAGGUAUCCCGUAGCCCACAGGGCUGCAAAUGUGACAUGAGUUGCUCUUGUGUCACCCCACAGCCCUCCUCUGUCCUGGAACCCCUCCCUGCCAGCCCUCCUGUGGGCAGGAAAUCACACCCAGAGAUCUGCAUUUCUCAGGAAAGGGCGAAAAUGCCACAAAGGUGAGAAUGUGGCCAAAUUAUUGCUGGUGGGAACAGAAACGGACAAGUUAACAUGCAGGAGUGGAAAUUACUCAUUUCAAGAAUGGGGGGGGAAGGGAGAAAGGGGAGUUUAAAAUGCAGAGAAGAGAAGGAUGCCAGCCCAUUUCUGACAACCAUAUAAUGCAGUCAGAAAUCUGCACUUCACACUUCGUCUUUGAUGUUGGGACAGAAGGUGCCUAUGUGUGCUUCAGUGUGGUAGGAGCUGUGUCGUGGGGGAUGGCUGCCCACGGGGACCACCCCAACAGCCCAUUGACACCAUCACCAGCCCUGGUCCUGCAUCACUCCAGUUGAGCCCCCGCUGAGAUGCAGAGGUAGAAAGAUUUUGGGAAGGUGAUGGCUGAGAAGGAAGAAUGGAUAACGGGGCAGCAGUGAUGGGUGUCACAGCCAAGGCUGCAGCACCCAUCCUGCACCCAAGCAGGACAUGGCAUUGCCCCAUGUCCCAGGACACAGGGUGCCAGCCAAGGUGACAAUGGGCUGGAGAUGUCCCCAGGGACAUUCUUGAGGUCUCACUGUUGGGCUGUUCACAGAGCUGUGGGGUUGACAGCCCCAGUGGUUCAAGCCCACAUGGAUCCUGGCAUGAGUAAACAAUGCGGGAAUGGGGAACAGGUGCUUGCAUGGCGACCUGAGCCCUGUUUUUAAUUCUUGCUUUGAAGCAGGGAUUUGUGAGAGGUACAGGAGGGAGCUUUUGGCAUCCCAGGGCUCGGUGGACACGGCACCGGGCUGCCCAUGUGCUGUCACCAUCCCUCCACAACCAUCUCGCUGGCCACAAACCUCUCCAUCAUACGCAUCCUCCCCAGCUUCAGGGCUCGGGAGUGGCGGUUGGGAGCCGCAAAGAAAGCCAAGGUGAUCUCAUCCCACGGGUAUUUUCUUGGCUCAUUCAGCUCGCUCCAACGCCUCACCGAUAACGUUGGACGAUGAGGUCAGCAGCAGGGUUUGGCAUCGCCGAGCUGUGUGUCACCGAGGAGCCCGGAGCUCCAACACCUGCACUUACCCCCGUGUUUUGGGAUUGGGGUUGCAGGGAGCUGCUUCACCCCAUGGUGAAACCACUUCCGUAUCUUCUGCUCCAUAAGCCUGUUUGUGUAUCCUUCCACUAAAAAUACCACCGGUUCUGCUGGUCCGUUCCUAAAAGUGGAGAUACUAACACAUCUGAUAGCUAAUACCACAGCUAAGAGGAUCUGAAGCUCUGGGAUGGCAAUUGGCAAUUACAAGCAUCCCAAGCAUCUUGCCUUCAAGCAAGGACAUGGCACACCACCGUGCAUCUCCAUCUCCAGCAUCAGCCCUGCAUUCCUUCCCUGCAAAACUGCCAAGUCUGGGCUUUGGGGGCUGCUCUGACCUUUCCACGUGCUUCAUCUUCUGAUGGGGGGCAGAGGCUCUGCAUAGGUGUGUGCAUGGGGAAGGUCUGUGUGAAGUAGCCAGCAGCUGGUUAGGCUCCUCCAGGGGAGCACGGAAAGGUGGAAGCUUCCCAUAUCUGCCGUGUUAGAAAGAGGAGCAGAGGGCUUUUCCUCUUCAGAUCACUUUCCAAAGCGCUGUUAUCAGCCCAGGAGGGGUUUCCUGCUGCCAAAAAUAGAGCAGCGUUGAGAUAGGAAGGGAGGCAGGAUGACGCAGGCACAGAUAAGGCUGCUGGAUGAGCUGGGGGGGGGGGGGGGGGCAGCUUGGACCUCCGGCAUGCUGGGUGCCCCCAUCCCACUGAAAGACCCGCAGUGGGGUUUGGGAUCUCACCCACACCUGCACUGUUGCUUUCUCAGCCCAGUUAUGUCAAUGAGCGGCUGGGUGCUGAACGUAAGCCCAAUGCGUCCAUCGCUGGGGGCCGGCAGGGGAAGCUGGCCGGUUUUCAGGUUCUGCAGAGUGCAUCUGUGCCUCUCUGAAGGAUGCUGCAGGCCCGCGGCGGGGUUUGGCCGAGCAGAGCAUUGCCUGUCCCCUUCCUUCCCCCAGACAAAGCCCCCCCAAGGAUGGCAAAAGGAAGAGCCCGACGGCCCGCUCCGGGCUUUGUUCGGCCUUUGGAAGGUGCCAAAUUCCCUCUCUCAAGAAUGAGAGCUUAAUGUCCCGUAUCUAAUUAGCGAUUUUCCCCGCACCUGCCCCUCCGCCGCCCCUCGGGCCAUCUGCCGUCUCGGGGC
ensembl:lncRNA